ACUGCUGUAACCAAUUGCCACAAACGUGGUGGCCUAAAUGGAGCUCAGCUCGAGCUCAGGAGGACGGAAGUCUGAGCCGGGACUUGAGGCGUUCAAAUCGAGACGUCAGCAGAGCUGCCUUCUCUUCUGGUGACUCCAGGGGAGGAUCGUUUCCAGCCCUGUCUGGCUCCCAGAGAAUCCUGCAUUCCUGGGCUCAGGGCCCCUUCCUCCGUCUUCAAAGCCAACAACAUUGUGUCCCGCUGAGUGUUCCUCCGUGGGCACACCUCCCGCUGUAUUUCACAAAUAAGUAGACGACAAAACAAAGACAGAACGCAAAGGUAUUUUCAAUGUGGAAUGUGCAUAUUCAGUGGCAUUAGGAGGCCUUUGCACAAAGCUGCUCCAGCUCGAUGCCGUGUCUCCUGUGAGGACCCACCGGACGCCCAGCAAGCACCCCCAGUUCGGAUGCAGGCACUCGAACUCCCAGCUGGAAGACAGCAGACCAUGCGGUUCAACACAAGUGUUUGAUUUCUGAUAUUUUCAUUUUCCUUGAAUUUCAGGAAAAUAAAUGUAUGAUGAUAUAUCCAUUGUUUGCAAAGUCAAAGAGGUGCCGCUCUU
rnacentral:lncRNA from 1 species